UCUCUGCCUCUGUGUGUGUAUCUCAUGAGUAAAUAAAUAAAAUGUUAAAAAAAAAAAAAAAAAAGAGGCACUGGUCGCACGCCUGAAGGAGUCCCCUAACCAAAGAAGGGGCCGGUGGGGUGGCCGCCAGUGAGCUGACCGGCAUCAAGCUUUAUCAUUCGCGGGGGAGUUCCUACCCCUCGGGGGCUGAGCCGACCGCUGGCUGGAGGAUGCAGUUCCGGGGAGACCGCAGACCACCCUCACCCCAGACCCCGGGACAGGCCGGGGCCCAGAGCCACGGGACGCGGGGGAGUGUUGGACUGACCACCGUAGGCGGUGUAGCCGAGUCCAAAUAGCGCACGCCAGGCAGCUUAGCACGGCAGGGAUCUAUCUCUCCGGGUUCUGGAGGGCAGAGGUCCAAGGUCAAGGUCGUGGCAGGGCUGGUUCCCUGGGGACGUGUCUGGGCCCUGGCGGGGCUGGCGCUCCUUGGCUCACGGGCGCCCGGCUCCCAUCUCUGCGUCUCCCUGGGGGUCUGUGUCUUCACAAGGACGUAGUCCGCCUCAAUCCCAGUGGCCUCAUCAGAACUUAACUAGUUAUAUCUGCAAAGACCCCACAGGGUCCCCCUCACAGGUUCCAAGGGACGGGACUUUUGGGAAGGGGGACCCUGGUCAGGCCAACAGACAGUGAAGAUUCGGAGCUCCCAGGCAGGAGGAGGGCCACACGUGCAGACAGGCCGGCCAGCAGGAGCGGAGGUCGGAGGCUCUCAGACCCACCCGUUCUCUCCAGCCUCGGGGUCACGGCCAGCCAGCCUGCCUCUCACACUAGUGGGACCAGGGCAAGAAUUCGGGGCACAGGGGUCGCAGAACCCACGUUCGGAAACCCUCCAGUGAGAACCAGCUGCUGCUGCCCAGUGCACUCUGGGCUCCCGUCCAGCCCCCCACUCCGGCCGCAGACACAGGGAGCAUCGGGCCGGGGCGGCCUCACAGCCCAGGAUGGAUCCUAACCCACGCAGGGAGGACGUGCGCGGCAGGGAGCCCUCGGAGGCUGGCGGCUGCUCCCCAGGUGCGCCCUGUGCCUCUCGCCUGGGAGCUCCACCCGAGGGAGCCCGACGCCCUGUCCCCACAAAACGCGCGUCCCAAUAUUAACAGCAGCAGUGUUUCUAAUUUCCAAAAUGUGGAAUCA
rnacentral:lncRNA from 1 species